rnacentral:rRNA from 1 species
UAAGGGAUCUUCCACAAUGGGCGCAAGCCUGAUGGAGCGACGCCGCGUGCAUGACGAAGCCCUUCGGGGUGUAAAAUGCUUUUCCCAGGGAUGAUACCAGACAGUACCUGGGGAAGAAGCUUCGGCUAACUACGUGCCAGCAGCCGCGGUAAUACGUAGGAAGCAAGCGUUGUCCGGAAUCACUGGGCGUAAAGCGCGUGUAGGCGGUGCGGGAAGUCUGCUGUGAAAGCGCCUGGCUCAACCGGGCGAGGUCGGUGGAAACUCCUGCACUCGAGGUCAGUAGAGGCGGAUGGAAUUCCCGGUGUAGUGGUGAAAUGCGUAGAGAUCGGGAGGAACACCUGAGGCGAAGGCGGUCCGCUGGGCUGCACCUGACGCUGAGACGCGAAGGCGCGGGGAGCGAACGG